GGGGGUCCACACAGGAAGGAGAUGAUUCCAAUAGUCCCGUGAGAUGAAGACCUUAACUGGGGGAUGAAUGCGGAAGCUGCAGCAAAGGAGAGUCUACAGACUGUGUGGUGUAGGAGGAGCACACUGGGGCUGUAACAUUGUGGAAGUCUGGAGGAGAACCUGGAGUGAUGUGACUGAGUUUAGUGUGGAGCAAGUUGGAUUGGAGAAGCAGGCCACCUUCUUCCAGGGGCAGAUAUCCAGCAAAUGCAAUUGGAAGGGUGAUUCUGGAGUUCAUAGGAGAGGCUGAGGCAAGGGAUGUCAAUUUUGGAAUCAUCUGGAAAGAAGUUGGGCCGACACAAGAGGUGGAGGGAGAGGGUAGAAAAGGUACAGAGAACAGGGCUGAAGACAGAAUCUAGGUCUACCGAGAAGGAGCCCAUGAAAGGAACGAAUCUAGGUCUACCGAGAAGGAGCCCAUGAAAGGAACGGAAACCAUCAGGAGAAACCAUAAGGGAAGGAAUUGGCCUCUUCUACCAGCACUGCACCACUAACAAGAUCCUAACCUAUUCCAUGUUAUUUCACAAAACAUACUUGAAGAAGGUGAGGGGGAAGAAUGAGAAUCCACCAUCUAUGAAAAUGGAGAUGGGAAUUCAGCUUGGACUAGAA
rnacentral:lncRNA from 1 species